CAAUAGCGUAUAUUAAAGUUGUUGCAGUUAAAAGCUCGUAGUUGGAUUUGUGGUUGGAGUGGUCGGUCCGACACAGUGUGUGGGUACUUGACUUUCUCCGUCCAUCCUUGGGUGGAAUCUGUGUGGCAUUAAGUUGUCGUGCAGGGAUGCCAUCAUUAUCUGUGAAAAAUUAGAGUGUUCAAAGCAGGCUUACGCCGUUGAAUAUAUUAGCAUGGAAUAAUGAGAUAGGACCUUGGUACUAUUUUGUUGGUUUGCGCACCGAGGUAAUGAUUAAUAGGGACAGUUGGGGUGAUUCUGUAUUCCAUUUCGUUCUCAAGGAAGGGUUGAAAAUUUCUUGGAUUUCUGGAAGACGAACUACUGCGAAAGCAUUUACCAAGGAUGUUUUCAUUAAUCAAGAACGAAAGUUAGGGGAUCGAAGACGAUUAGAUACCA
rnacentral:rRNA from 1 species